rnacentral:rRNA from 1 species
UGAGGAAUAUUGCGCAAUGGGGGCAACCCUGACGCAGCAACGCCGCGUGCGUGAGGAUGGUUUUCGGAUUGUAAAGCUCUGUCGAGCGGAAAGAAAUGCAUUAUGGCUAAUAUCCAUAAUGCUUGACGGUACCGCUAAAGGAAGCACCGGCUAACUCCGUGCCAGCAGCCGCGGUAAUACGGGGGGUGCAAGCGUAGUUCGGAAUCAUUGGGCGUAAAGAGCGUGUAGGCGGCUUAACAAGUCAGAUGUGAAAUCCCUGGGCUUAACACAGGAAGUGCAUUUGAAAAUGUUUGGCUUUAGUAAGGUAGAGGAAAGUGGAAUUCCUGGUGGAGAGGUGAAAUUCGUAGAGAUCAGGAUGAACACCGGUGGCGAAGGCGACUUUCUGGCCGUAUACUGACGCUGAGACGCGAAAGCGUGGGUAGCAAACA